rnacentral:rRNA from 1 species
AUUUUUGCCGAAUUCCUUUUUAUUAAUUUUAAUUAAUUUUAUUUUAUUUUUUUUUUAUAUACUAAUUUUAUCAUUAUAACUAAUUUUUUAUUAUUAAAAAUUAUUUUUUUAUAUAAAUUUAAAUAUAAAUUUAAAUUUUAAAAUAAAUAAAAUUAUUUAUAAAAAAUUAUAAUUUAUAAAAAAUAUAAAUUUUAAAAUAUUUAAAUAGUUUAUUAACAUUAUAAAAAUUUAAUUUAAAGCUUAUCCCUUAAAAUAUUUAAUUAAAUAUAUAAUUUUUUACAAAAAAUUUAAAAAAUUAUUAAAUUAAUUUAAAAUUAAAUUUUUUUCUAAAAAAACUAGAUAUUUUUAAAAACGAUUAACAUUUCAUUUCAAAUUAAUUAUUUAAAAUAAUUAUGUCACAUUAACUUUAAUAAUUAACUAUCUCUUUUAAAUUCGAGAUAUUUUUAUUUAAAAAUAUUUUAUUAAUAAACUCUGAUACACAAGAUACAAUAAAUUAAAUUUACUUAAAUAAUAAUCCAUAUUUAACUUUAUUUCAAAAUUCUUUCACAAUACUAUUAAACUAUAAAUUAAUAAAUUUUUUCUAAAAAAUACUUUAACCCCCAUUAAUUAUUUUUUAUAAUUAUUUUUAUUAUUUAUUUUAUUAUAUUAAUUUUCCCCCA